GGUCUGGAAGGUGAAAUGCUGCAGCAGGGAGACGAUGGCAACUUUCAGAAUCAGGAGAGCAAACCUCAUCCCAAUGCAGUUCCUGGGCCCGGCCCCAAAGGGCAGGUUCUCUCAAUCCGCCCCCCGAGGGGAUAGACCCUGAGGGUUUCAUUCACUGUCAUGUCAAGAUAUUCCAAUUUCAUAAUUGUUUCGUACGUGAGAGGAGCCUGCAGGACCACAUGAGGAAGGUGACCAGCUGUGCAGGAGGAUCAUAUUCUACUGGCUUGCCUGCAGAGCAGCCUCAGCCAGGAAGGCACAGCUGGAUAUCUGUGAAAAAUCACCUGAUGGAUCAGGACCCUGACUGAAACCAGCACCCUGAUGGUAACCAGUACCUGGCAUUGUUAUUAUCCAAUUAUUUCUUUGAUGCUGAGCAAUAAUAUCAUAACUGGAUGGGAAUACUCCAAACCUUGGAGCAAGAUCACACGCAUGUUCAGUCUUUAGACUUCUCUGCUACAUCCCAGAGCCUGGUUAGAUGCUGGAAAAGUGAAAAUCACAUCUACUCUUCAGCAGGUUAGUUGUAUGAAAGUGAGCAAUGGCAAAAAGAGAGAAAUGGCAGGAGCAGAGUAUCAAUAAAGAAUAUUUUACUCACACUAGCAGGAGGACCACGAAAAGAAGUAUAAAGGCCCAUGUUUCUGUAGAGAAAGAAGGCAGAAGGUUCAUUUCAGCUCUUCUCUGAUUGGCUCUGAGUUCUGCCUUGACGUGCUUGUCCCUCGUCAGUAGGAAAUAGGAGUGUUUCACACUGUGCAAUCCUUUUUAUCCAGUCAUAUGAUUUAGGGGCCCUCCUUCUGUGA